GAUGAACGCUGGCGGCGUGCCUAAUACAUGCAAGUAGAACGCUGAAGGAGGAGCUUGCUCUUCUGGAUGAGUUGCGAACGGGUGAGUAACGCGUAGGUAACCUGCCUGGUAGCGGGGGAUAACUAUUGGAAACGAUAGCUAAUACCGCAUGACAACAGUUAUUGCAUGAUAACUGUUUAAAAGGGGCAACUGCUCCACUACCAGAUGGACCUGCGUUGUAUUAGCUAGUUGGUGAGGUAACGGCUCACCAAGGCGACGAUACAUAGCCGACCUGAGAGGGGGAUCGGCCACACUGGGACUGGGACACGGCCCAGACUCCUACGGGAGGCAGCAGUAGGGAAUCUUCGGCAAUGGCCGGAAGUCUGACCGAGCAACGCCGCGUGAGUGAAGAAGGUUUUCGGAUCGUAAAGCUCUGUUGUAAGAGAAGAACGAGUGUGGGAGUGGAAAGUUCACACUGUGACGGUAUCUUACCAGAAAGGGACGGCUAACUACGUG
rnacentral:rRNA from 1 species